rnacentral:rRNA from 1 species
ACACAUGCAAGUCGAGGGGCAGCAUCCAGUUUGCUUGCAAACUGGAGAUGGCGACCGGCGCACGGGUGAGUAACACGUAUCCAACCUGCCGAUAACUCGGGGAUAGCCUUUCGAAAGAAAGAUUAAUACCCGAUGGCAUAAUAGAACCGCAUGGUUUGAUUAUUAAAGAAUUUCGGUUAUCGAUGGGGAUGCGUUCCAUUAGGCAGUUGGUGGGGUAACGGCCCACCAAACCUUCGAUGGAUAGGGGUUCUGAGAGGAAGGUCCCCCACAUUGGAACUGAGACACGGUCCAAACUCCUACGGGAGGCAGCAGUGAGGAAUAUUGGUCAAUGGACGAGAGUCUGAACCAGCCAAGUAGCGUGAAGGAUGACUGCCCUAUGGGUUGUAAACUUCUUUUAUAUGGGAAUAAAGUGGUCCACGUGUGGAUUUUUGUAUGUACCAUAUGAAUAAGGAUCGGCUAACUCCGUGCCAGCAGCCGCGGUAAUACGGAGGAUCCGAGCGUUAUCCGGAUUUAUUGGGUUUAAAGGGAGCGUAGGUGGACAAUUAAGUCAGUUGUGAAAGUUUGCGGCUCAACCGUAAAAUUGCAGUUGAUACUGGCUGUCUUGAGUACAGUAGAGGUGGGCGGAAUUCGUGGUGUAGCGGUGAAAUGCUCUAGAUAUCACGAAGAACUCCGAUUGCGAAGGCAGCUCACUG